rnacentral:sRNA from 1 species
CCACCGUCUGCUGCCUACAUCCGCCCGCCCGGCGUCCGACCCCUUCAGCGGCGACGGGCGGAGCUGGAGCCCCGGGCCCGGACGCCAGGUGGGCUCCUGGGAGGGUGAUGAAGCAGGCCCUGGUGGACGAUACCGAGGAUGUGUCCCUGGACUUUGGAAACGAGGAGGAGCUGGCCUUUAGGAAAGCCAAGAUCAGAAUGUAACCGGAAGACUCCUGGUGGGCCUUCGAUGGUGGAACCAGAUAGAUGAAGAUGGGAAGAGCCACUGGAUCUUUGAAGCCAGGAAGGUCUCUCCGAAUAGCAUUGCUGCCACAGAAGCUGAAGCACGAAUCUUCUGGCUGGGCCUCAUAAUCUGCCCCAUGAUAUGGAUUGUGUUUUUUUUUAGCACCUUAUUUUCCUUGAAGCUAAAAUGGCUGGCUCUGGUGGUUGCUGGGAUCUCUCUCCAAGCUGCAAACCUGUAUGGCUACAUCCUUUGUAAGAUGGGAGGCAACAGUGACAUUAGCAAGGUCACAGCCACUUUCCUGUCCCAGACAGUGUUCCAGACGGCCUGCCCAGGUGACUUUCAGAAGCCUGGCCUCAAGGGGCUGGAGAUUCACCAGCAUUAGCACACCGGGGCCAGGACCCAUAGCACCAGAGCGCUGGCAUCUGUAACUCUUUGCCACCAUGUCCCCAGAGGAGACUGAAGUGCUGUCCUCAUGCCUUCCUGUCUGUUCCUAGGAAGAUGUUUCCCCUGACAAACGUCCUGCCCACCAAUCCCAUCUCGGCAGAGCUGAACUGUGGCAGAGGUGCAGGCUGGCAGGAAUGGAUGUGCCCUGGGCUGCUGCAAGCUCCUGUCCCCAAUCACAUCCAUUCAUGCAGCCCAACUGCCUCCAGGGGCCUCAGAGGGCAGCUCUCAUCACCACUUCCGGCCACUGCAAAAGCUGCCUGGGAAAGCAGAAAUAGUUUGCAGAGCAGCCUUCCGAUCAUUUCCUCAACCAUGAGAGCAAGAUCUUGUUGGGCUCGCCUGGCAGCCCCACGCGCCCUCACCUUGCACUUAGGACAGAUGAAGCCACUCAUGUUCUCCACCACCCCGAUGAUGGGCAGCUUCACCUUGCGGCAGAAGUUGAUUUCUUUCCGGACAUCCUGGAGUGACACCUCCUACGAAGGUGAAAAGACCAGUGAUUCCAGCAUCAAAGUGCGAGAAAGGGAAUGUCUGUGCAACCGAGGGGAUGGCUGCAAUGCAGUGGAUCUGCGAUCAUAAAGCCUUAGAGGUUUCUGCCCUGAUAGGGUUGGGCU